UGAUCGGCCACACUGGGACUGAGACACGGCCCAGACUCCUACGGGAGGCAGCAGUAGGGAAUCUUCCGCAAUGGACGAAAGUCUGACGGAGCAACGCCGCGUGAGUGAUGAAGGUUUUCGGAUCGUAAAGCUCUGUUGUUAGGGAAGAACAAGUACCGUUCGAAUAGGGCGGUACCUUGACGGUACCUAACCAGAAAGCCACGGCUAACUACGUGCCAGCAGCCGCGGUAAUACGUAGGUGGCAAGCGUUGUCCGGAAUUAUUGGGCGUAAAGGGCUCGCAGGCGGUUUCUUAAGUCUGAUGUGAAAGCCCCCGGCUCAACCGGGGAGGGUCAUUGGAAACUGGGGAACUUGAGUGCAGAAGAGGAGAGUGGAAUUCCACGUGUAGCGGUGAAAUGCGUAGAGAUGUGGAGGAACACCAGUGGCGAAGGCGACUCUCUGGUCUGUAACUGACGCUGAGGAGCGAAAGCGUGGGGAGCGAACAGGAUUAGAUACCCUGGUAGUCCACGCCGUAAACGAUGAGUGCUAAGUGUUAGGGGGUUUCCGCCCCUUAGUGCUGCAGCUAACGCAUUAAGCACUCCGCCUGGGGAGUAC
rnacentral:rRNA from 1 species